rnacentral:lncRNA from 1 species
AGAAUCUCACCACCCUUGAGAACAGAAUGCUAAUGUUUGAUGGGAUGCCGGCAGUCAGAGUCAAAACAGAACUUUUGGAAUCUGAACAAGGGAAUUCUGUUAUUUAUAAUGAAGAAGAAGAAUGGUGGCCAAGUACUGAUUUUGAGUGGUUGCUGUGAGAAUAGUCAUUAUCUACACCUCCAGGAAGGCCCCCAAGAAGGCUGAUUCCAUAUGCCGUUCUAUUUGUCUCAAAGUGCUUCAUUACGAUUCUGGAAAAAUGGUUUGGGAAGAGGCCAGGAGCGUUCUUGGGACCAUGGAUCUCAUGGAGCCAGAGUCCGAUGCUGCACUUGAUGCUGCCAAUUGACUUCCAGAACUGGGAGAAUGAUUCUACAGACUCCCUGUUUAACCCAAAUCCUCAGGGAUAGAACUGGGCCCUGAAUUUUGUCUGAUUCCCUAUAACUACAGUUGUUUGCCUAAUUCAAGUGCAGAAACCACAUGUGCUUAAGUCCCCUGUGUCUAUGGAUCAUGUGUUUGAGGCACGGAGUUCCACUCGCUCUGCACAGUACGUUAUUGUUGUAUCUUCUGACUUGGCUUCUCUGUUAUAUAUUUAUUAAAACACAUUAAAGGAAAAUUGAAGC